AAAAAGUCGUAACAAGGUCUCCGUUGGGUGAACCAGCGGAGGGAUCAUUACCGCCUUUACAACUCCCAAACCCAAUGUGAACGUUACCAAACUGUUGCCUCGGCGGGGUCACGCCCCGGGUGCGUCGCAGCCCCGGAACCAGGCGCCCGCCGGAGGAACCAACCAAACUCUUUCUGUAGUCCCCUCGCGGACGUAUUUCUUACAGCUCUGAGCAAAAAUUCAAAAUGAAUCAAAACUUUCAACAACGGAUCUCUUGGUUCUGGCAUCGAUGAAGAACGCAGCGAAAUGCGAUAAGUAAUGUGAAUUGCAGAAUUCAGUGAAUCAUCGAAUCUUUGAACGCACAUUGCGCCCGCCAGUAUUCUGGCGGGCAUGCCUGUCCGAGCGUCAUUUCAACCCUCGAACCCCUCCGGGGGAUCGGCGUUGGGGAUCGGGACCCCUCACACGGGUGCCGGCCCCUAAAUACAGUGGCGGUCUCGCCGCAGCCUCUCCUGCGCAGUAGUUUGCACAACUCGCACCGGGAGCGCGGCGCGUCCACGUCCGUAAAACACCCAACUUUCUGAAAUGUUGACCUCGGAUCANGUAGGAAUACCCGCUGAACUUAAGCAUAUCAAUAA
rnacentral:rRNA from 1 species